rnacentral:rRNA from 1 species
GACAGAAAAGGCAAGCAUUGCUCGGAAUUACUGGGCGUAAAGGGCGCGUAGGCGGGAUGGCAAGUCGGUCGUGAAAUCCCUCAGCUCAACUGAGGAUCGUCGAUCGAUACUGCCGUUCUUGAGGAUUGCAGAGGAGACUGGAAUUCCCGAUGUAGCGGUGAAAUGUGUAGAGAUCGGGAGGAACACCGAUGGCGAAGGCGGGUCUCUGGGCAAUUCCUGACGCUGAAGCGCGAAAGCGUGGGGAGCAAACGGG